AUUGAACGCUGGCGGCAGGCCUAACACAUGCAAGUCGAACGAGUGGCGGACGGGUGAGUAAUGUCUGGGAAACUGCCCGAUGGAGGGGGAUAACUACUGGAAACGGUAGCUAAUACCGCAUACCAUCGGAUGUGCCCAGAUGGGAGUAGCUAGUAGGUGGGGUAAUGGCUCACCUAGGCGACGAUCCCUAGCUGGUCUGAGACGAGGACCAGCAACACUGGAACUGAGACACGGUACAGAGCCCUACGGUAGGCAGCAGUGGGGAAGAUUGCAAAAUGGGCGAAAGCCUGAUGCAGCCAUGCCGCGUGUAUGAAGAAGGCCUGCGGGUUGUAAAGUACUGUCAGCGAGGAGGCGUUACUCGCAGAAGAAGCACCGGCUAACUCCGUGCCAGCAGCCGCGGUAAUAC
rnacentral:rRNA from 1 species